rnacentral:rRNA from 1 species
GAUGAACGCUGGCGGCGUGCCUAAUACAUGCAAGUCGAGCGAACAGACGAGGAGCUUGCUCCUCUGACGUUAGCGGCGGACGGGUGAGUAACACGUGGAUAACCUACCUAUAAGACUGGGGUAACUUCGGGAAACCGGAGCUAAUACCGGAUAAUAUAUUGAACCGCAUGGUUCAAUAGUGAAAGACGGUUUUGCUGUCCCUUAUAGAUGGAUCCGCGCCGCAUUAGCUAGUUGGUAAGGUAACGGCUUACCAAGGCAACGAUGCGUAGCCGACCUGAGAGGGUGAUCGGCCACACUGGAACUGAGACACGGUCCAGACUCCUACGGGAGGCAGCAGUAGGGAAUCUUCCGCAAUGGGCGAAAGCCUGACGGAGCAACGCCGCGUGAGUGAUGAAGGUCUUCGGAUCGUAAAACUCUGUUAUUAGGGAAGAACAAAUGUGUAAGUAACUAUGCACGUCUUGACGGUACCUAAUCAGAAAGCCACGGCUAACUACGUG